UACGGAGGAUGCGAGCGUUAUCCGGAUUUACUGGGUGUAAAGGGAGCGUAGACGGCCAGACAAGUCUGAAGUGAAAAUCCAGCGCUUAACGUUGGAAGUGCUUUGGAAACUGCCGGGCUAGAGUGCAGGAGGGGCAGGCGGAAUUCCUAGUGUAGCGGUGAAAUGCGUAGAUAUUAGGAGGAACACCAGUGGCGAAGGCGGCCUGCUGGACUGCAACUGACGUUGAGGCUCGAAGGCGUGGGGAGCAAACAGG
rnacentral:rRNA from 1 species